ensembl:scaRNA
CAUGGAGGUUAAGAAAGUGAAGUGUGAAAAGACCAUGUUGCUUCACUGAUACCCACCUCCUACAGUAAACAGCAGAGAGAACAUCUUUGGUGUGUGAGAACUGAGCUAAAGAUUACUGUGUCUGCUUACAUGA